AACUGCUUGAGUUCCUGGAUGUGCAGAAGCACUUGUGGCCCCUCAAGGACCUCACGCUGACGAGCAAUCAGAGGUACUCCCUGGUCAGGGACAAGUGUUUCCUGUCAGCCACCGAGUGCCUGCAGAAGAUCAUGACCACGGUGGACCCACGGGAGAAGCUGGAGGUGCUGGAGAGGACAUACGGGGAAAUUGAGGGCACAGUGUCACGGGUGCUGGGCCGGGAGUACAAGCUGCCCAUGGACGACCUGCUGCCGCUUCUCAUCUACGUGGUGUCACGCGCCCGUUGGGGAAGCCAAGGCCCAGAAAAGGGAGGGUCCCAGCCAGGGUGCUGGGGUGCUAGAGGCAGAGUGAGGACCACACCCUAGGUGUCCAGCCAUCCAGGCCAGGGCUCCUUCCCCAGCUGCCUGUCCAUGACAGCCCUCUUCUCCUUGUCUCCCUCGCUCUCUUGGUGGGGCGGUGUUCUCCAGAAUUCAGCACCUGGGAGCCGAGAUCCAUCUGAUCCGUGACAUGAUGGACCCCAACCACACAGGAGGCCUGUAUGACUUCUUGCUCACUGCCCUGGAG
rnacentral:sRNA from 1 species